UCUCUCUCUCGCUGACUGUUCCUUCACUUCCCUGUCGUUUCCCUUCUGUCUGUACUUUACCAAAGUAAUUGCCUUUUCGUUGACGUUAAGCGUUGUUUUGUUGGCAAUCACCCAUGCCGAAUUUACCGUAAGACUCUCUUGAUUUAUAAAACAUCUAAAAUAAGCAAGUUCACUACGUGAGUACCUUUGUACAUCAACAGGAAACAAAACUAGGAUUUAUGAAUUAAGUCUGGUCGGCCAGACGUGGAGACUGAAAUCUGAAGCCUGUGGAUGUUUUGUGGUGAACGACAGGAGGAAGAAAUAGAACGGCUAAGUGAAGGUGACAAGGAGCUGAUGGGUGUGUUUGGGGAUGUGACAGAUGGUGAGGACACUGAAGUGGAGGAGGUGGGCACAGCAGCAAGUGCAGCGGAGGAGGUGUGCAGCAGAGGAGGUGGGUACAGCAGCUGGUGCAGCGGAGGAGGUGUGCAGCAGAGGAGGUGGGCACAGCAGCAGGUGCAGCGGAGAAGGUGUGCA